AAUGAACGCUGGCGGCAUGCCUAACACAUGCAAGUCGAACGGACGCACGGGGAGCUCGCGCUCCUGAGGUUGGCGGGGGUCGGAUGGGUAACUAGUGGAUAGCCUACCUCUAUGACUGGGGUGAUAACGGGAAACCGGUGCUACUAAUGCAUCAUAUAUCGUACAGGAUGGAGCAAGCGUUAUAGACGCUUUUCGUGUCUCUAAUAGCCGAAUCCGCGUCGGAUUAGCUAGUUGGUAAGGUAACGGCUUACCAAGGCUACGAUGCGUAGCCGACCUGAGAGGAUGAUCGGCCACACUGGAACUGAGACACGGUCCAGACUCCUACGGGAGGCAGCAGUGGGGAAUCUUCCGCAAUGGGCGAAAGCCUGAUAUAGCAACACCGCGUGAGUGAUGAAGGACUUAGGGUCGUAAAGCGCUGUUGUUGGGAAAGAAGAAAAGCUGUUUAACCGAUGGACGUCUUGACGGUACCCAAAGAAGAAGCCACGGCUAACUUCGUG
rnacentral:rRNA from 1 species